CUACGGGAGGCUGCAGUGGGGAAUUUUGCGCAAUGGGGGAAACCCUGACGCAGCAAUACCGCGUGAGUGAGGAAGGCCUUUGGGUCGUAAAGCUCUUUUCUUGGGGAAGAUAGUGACGGUACCCAAGGAAUAAGCACCGGCUAACUCCGUGCCAGCAGCCGCGGUAAUACGGAGGGUGCAAGCGUUGUUCGGAUUUACUGGGCGUAAAGGGCACGUAGGCGGCACAGCAAGUUAAGGGUGAAAUCCCGGGGCUCAACUCCGGAACUGCUCUUAAAACUGCUGAGCUAGAGAUAGUCAGAGGCGGGUGGAAUUCCAGGUGUAGAGGUGAAAUUCGUAGAUAUCUGGAGGAACACCGGUGGCGAAGGCGGCCCGCUGGGGCUAUUCUGACGCUAAGGUGCGAAAGCGUGGGGAGCAAACAGGAUUAGAUACCCCCGUAGUC
rnacentral:rRNA from 1 species